GGUUGUUGCCAGUAUACAAAUAUCCAUGAUUUUCAUGAUGUUAAUUAAUUUAGAAUUUAAAAUAAAAAUUUGAUUUAAUAAGUUAGGAAGUUGCUAGAACAUGGUUAGAAAAUCAGGUGGAAUUUUACACACUAGAUAUUUUAGUCAUUUGAAAUUUAUUACAGCAAACGAUUGCUGAGGUUGUCGUUCUAUUUGGUAUCCCCAAGCCUCCCAAGGUCGUUAGGAUUUUGAGAUCAUUUCCUCCACACUUGUUAGCUGGCUCCGGUACAGGUCGUAGGCCUCCAGUGGCUACUUUAUGAUAUCGCGGAUCAUCUAUGAUGUGAAGCAGGAAUCCAAAUUAUGGAGCAGCAAGAGUCCUUUUCUGCAGGGCCUCAAGGGUCCUCAGAAUUGUAUUUUCACCAUGAACUUCUCCUGAUGGUUUAUGUGGCGGGAAGGGUUUGUCAGAGCUGCGAAUGAUGAGGCUUCUCAAGUUCCAGCUGGUAAGCAAUCCAGAAUAUUAAUUAUUCAUAUGAUAAGGUUAGGCCACAUUUCCAUUGUCUAAUGAAGGUUUUUUUUUCUAUUUCAGCUGACUGGGAUUUAUCAGAUUUAAUUGAUUUAUCAGAUUUAUCAGAUUUAAUUUAUUUUAGAUUUUAAAUUUAAUUUGUGAUUUAAUUUCGAGCUCUUCAAAAUUGUUUUCAAGAUCUCAAGAUUUGAGUUUCAUACAGUUUCUUCAAAUUGAAUGUUUCACCCGAAGGGGGCUUCGGUGAAGAGGAUGCUUGCCGCAGGCUGAAGCUUUGGUUGCGGAGGUGCUCUUUUGAAUGACUGCGCCUGGGGCGACCACUUCGGCUCACUGAAGGAUGGCUUGCAUGUGCAGCGGUAACUUCUGGCUUGAAGGUUGGUGGCAUUUCUCUUACCUGGAAGCAAAUGCUAAGUUUAGGUAAAUUUGGUUUCUAUCAUGUAUGUUGGCACUGAUACUUAGGGACUAACCAGUUUUAGGCAAUGCUUGUAAAUCACUCAGAACCAUAUUUGCACGGCCCAGCUCUAUCGUCUGGCAAUGUUAUUUUAGUUAAGGUGCUAAGCUUAAGCUUUUAUUGCUGAUUUACAAGUUGUACUUUGCAUUGUGUCCAUUUAGAGAAAUAAAACUGUGUGUCACAA